CAAGUAGCUGGGAUUACAGGCACCUGUCACCAUGCCCGGCUAAUUUUUUGUAUUUUUAGUUGAGACGGGGUUUCACCGUGUUAGCAAGGCUGGUCUCGAACUUCUGACCUUGUGAUCUGCCCGCCUCAGCCUCCCAAAGUGCUGGGAUUACAGGUGUGAGCCACCGCGCCCAGCCUAGGACAAGUGAAUUUUACUGAUAACUUUAUGACAGUGAAUUCAAUAAUUUAGAUAACAUGGAUAAAUUCCUUACAAAGAUAACUUGCAAAACUGAUAAAAGAUGGAAAAAAAAAAAAAACUGAAUGGCUCUGUACCUACGAAAGAAUUGGAUUUUCAAGUAAAAGCCUUCUUACGAAGAAAGCUGUGGGCCAGGCGUAGUGGCUCAUGCCUGUAAUCCCAGGACUUUGGGAGGCCAAGGCGGGUGGAUCACCUGGGGUCAGGGCAGGCGGAUCACAUGAGGUCGGGAGUUCAAGACCAGCCUGACCAACAUGGAGAAACCCUGUCUCUACUAAAAAUACAAAAUUAGCCAGGUGUGGUGGCGCAUGACUGUAAUCCCAGCUACUCGGGAGGCUGAGGUAGGAGAAUUGCUUGAACCCAGGAGAUGGAGGUUGCGAUGAGCUGAGAUUGUGCCACUGCACUCCAGCCUGGGCAACAAGACUGAAACUCCAUCUCAAAAAAAUAAAUAAACAAAGAAAGCUCCUUGCUCAGUUUUCAGAAUCUAAGUGCUGAGUAUACAAGUAUUCACUAUAAAAUUAUUUCGGAUUGCUGGCAAGAUGGCUGAAUAGGAACAGCUCCGGUCUGCAGCUCCCAGUAAGAUUGAUGCAGAAGGCAGGUGAUUUCUGCAUUUCUAACUGAGGUACCUGGUUCAUCUCAUUGGGACUAGUUGGACAGUGGGUGUAGCCACAGACAGCGAGCUAAAGCAUGGUGGGGCUCUCACCAGGGAAGCACAACGGGUCAAGGAAUUCUCUUCCCUACCCAAGGGAAGCCAUGAUGGACUAUGCCGUGAGGAACGGUACACUCCAGCCCAGAUACUGCAUUUUUCCCACAGUCUUCACAACCCACAGACCAGGAGAUUCCCUCCGGUGCCUAUGCUACCACGGCCCUGGGUUUCAAGCACAAAGCUGGGUGGCUGUUAGGGCAGACACUGAGUUAGGUGCAGGAGUUUUUCUUUUCCAUACCCUAGUGGUGCCUAGAAUGCCAGUGAGAGAGAACCGUUCACUCUUCCUGCAAAGGGGGCUGAAGCCAGGGAGCCAAGUGUUCUGGCUCGGCAGGUCCCACCCACACGGAGCCCAGCUAGCUAAGAUCCACUGGCUUGAAAUUCUCGCUGCCAGCACAGCAGUCUGAGGUUGACCUGGGAUGGUCAAGCUUGGUGAGGGGAGGGGCAUUGACCAUUGCUGAGGCUUGAGUAGGCGGUUUCCCCCUCACAGUGCAAACAAAGCCACUGGGAAGUUUGAACUGGGCCGAGCCCACUGCAGCUCGGCAAGGCCACUGUGGCCAGACUGCCUCUCUAGAUUCCUCCUCUCUGGACAGGGCAUCUCUGAAAAAAAGGCAGCAGGGGCUUAUAGAUAAACCCCCCAUCUCCCUGGGACAGAGCACCUGAGGGCUUCAGUAGACUUAAAUGUCCCUGCCGGACAGGACUCUGAAGAGAGCAGCAGAUCAGUGGAUCUCCCAGCACAGCAUUUGAGCUCUGCUAAAUGUCAGACUGGCUCCUCAAGUGGGUCCCUGACCCCCGUGUAUCCUGACUGGGAGACACCUCCCAGUAGGGGCCAACAGACACCUCAUACAAGAGAGCUCUGGCUGGCAUCUGUCAGUGCCCCUCUGGGAUGAAGCUUCCAGAGGAAGGAACAGGCAGCAAUCGUUGCUGUUCUGCAGCCUCUGCUGGUGAUACCCAGGCAAACAAGGUCGGGAGUGGACCUCAAGCAGACCUGCACCACAGGGGCCUGACAGAAGAGUAACAAACAGAAAGGAAUAGCAUCAACAUCAACAAAAAGGACGUCCACUCAGAGACCCCAUCCGAAGGUCACCAACAUCAAAGACCAAAGGUAGAUAAAUCCACAAAGAUGGGGAGAAACCAGCCCAAAAAGGCUGAAAAUUCCAAAAACAAGAACGCCUCUUCUCCUCCAAAGGAUCACAACUACUUGCCAGCAACAGACCAAAACUGGACGGAGAAUGAGGGUGACAAGUUGACAGAAGUAGGCUUCAGAAGGUGGGUAAUAACAAACUCCAAUGAGCUAAAGGAGCACUUUUUUUUUUUGGGACGGAGUUUUGCUCUUGUCGCCCAGGCUGGAGUGCAGUGGAGCGAUCUCGACUCACUGCAACCUCUGCCUCCCGGGUUCAAGCGAUUCUCCUGCAUAGCCUCCUGAGUAGCUGGGACUACAGGCGUGCACCACCACGCCCAGCUACUUUUUUGUAUUUUUAGUAGAGAUGGGGUUUCACUAUGUUGGCUAGGGUGGUCUUGAACUUUUGACCUUGUGUCCAUCUCGACCUCUCAAAGUGCUGGGAUUACAGGUGUGAGCCAGUGUACCCAGCCUAAAGGAGCAUCUUCUAACUCAAUGCAAGGAAGCUAAGAGCUUUGAAAAAAGGUUAGAUAAAUAGCUAAGUAGAAUAACCAGUUUAGAGAAGAAUAUAAAUGACCUGAUGGAGCUGAAAAACACGGUAUGAGAACUUCAUGAAGCAUACACAAGUAUUAACAGCUGAACUGAUCAAGCGGAAGAAAGGAUAUCAGAGAUUGAAGAUCAACUUAAUGAAAUAAAGUGAGAAGACAAGAUUAGAGAAAAAAGAAUUUUUGAAAAGGAACGAACACAGCCUCCAAGAAAUAUGGGACUAUGUGAAAAGACCACACCUAUGUUUGAUUGUUGUACCCGAAAGUGACAGGGAGAAGGGAACCAAGUUAGAAAACACUCUUCAGGAUAUUAUCCAGGAGAACUUCCCCAACCUAGCAAGACAGGCCAACAUUCAAAUUCAGGAAAUACAGAGACCACCACAAAGAUACUCCUGGAGAAGAGCAACCCUAAGACACAUAAUCGUCAGAUUCACCAAGGUUGAAAUGAAAGAAAAAAUGUUAAGGGCAGCCAGAGAGAAAGGUAAGGUUACCCACAAAGGGAAGCCCAUCAGACUAACAGCAGCUCUCUCUGCAGAAACCCUACAAGCCAGAAGAGAGUGGGGGCCAAUAUUCAACAUUUUUAAAGAAAAGAAUUUUCAACCCAAAAUUUCAUAUCCAGCCAAACUAAGCUUCAUAAGUGAAGGAGAAAUAAAAUCCUUUACAGACAAGCCAAUGCUGAGACAUUUUGUCACCACCAGGCCUGCCUUACAAGAGCUCCUGAAAGAAGCACUAAACAUGGAAAGGAACAACCAGUACCAGCCACUGCAAAAACAUACCAAAUUGUAAAGACCAUUGACACUGUGAAGAAACUGCAUCAACUAACCGGCAAAAUAACCAGCUAGCAUCAUAAUGACAGGAUCAAAUUCACACAUAACAAUAUUAACCUUAAAUGUAAAUGGGCUAAAUGCCCCAAUUAAAAGACACAGACUGGCAAACUGGAUAAAGAGUCAAGACCCAUUGGUGUGCUGUAUUCAGGAGAUCCAUCUCACAUGCAAAGACACACACAGGCUCAAAAUAAAGGGAUGGAGGAAGAUCUACCAAGCAAAUGGAAAACAAAAAAAAAAGCAGGGGUUGCAAUCCUAGUCUCUGAUAAAACAGACUUUAAACCAACAAUGAUCAAAAGAGACAAAGAAAGGCAUUACCUAAUGGUAAAGGGAUCAAUGAAACAAGAAGAACUAUCAUAAAUAUAUAUGCACCCAAUGCAGGAACACCCAGAUUCAUAAAGCAAGUUCUUAAAGACCUACAAAGAGACUUAAGACUCUCAGACAGUAAUAGUGGGAGACUUUAACAACGCACUGUCAAUAUCAGACAGAUCAACGAGACAGAAAAUUAGCAAGGAUACUCAGGACUAGAACUCAACUCUGGACCAAGUGGACCUAAUAGACAUCUACAGAACUCUCCACCCCAAAUCAAUAGAAUAUACAUUCUUCUCAGCACCUCAUCAUACUUAUUCUAAAAUUGACCACAUAACUGGAAUUAAAACACUCCUUAGCAAAUGCACAAGAAUGGGAAUCCUAACAGUCUCUCAGACCACAGUGCAAUAAAAUUAGAACUCAGUAUUAAGAAACUCACUCAAAACCACACAACUACAUGGAAACUGAACAACCUGCUCCUGAAUGACUAAUGGAUAAAUAACAAAAUUAAGGCAGAAAUAAAGAUGUUCUUUGAAACCAAUGGGACCAAAGACACAAUGUAUCAGAAUCCCUGGGACACAUUUAAAACAGUGUUUAGAGGGAAAUUUAUAGCACUAAAUGCCCACAAGCGGGAAAGAUCUAAAAUCGACACCCUAACAUCAAAAUUAAAAGAAGUAGAGAAGCAUGAGCAAACAAAUUCAAAAGCUAGCAGAAGACAAGAAAUAACUCUAAGAUCAGAGCAGAACUGAAGGAGAUAGAGACAUGAAAAACCCUUAAAAACAAACAAACAAACAAAAAAAUCAAUGAAUCCAGGAGCUGGUUUUCUUAAAAAAGAUCCAACAAAAUAGACCGCUAGCCUGACUAAUAAAGAAGAAAAGACAGAAGAAUCAAAUAGACACAAUAAAAAAUCAUAAAGGGGAUAUCACCACUGAUCCCACAGAAAUACAGACUACCAUCAGAGAAUAAUAUGAACACCUCUAUGCAAAUAAACUAGAAAAUCUAGAAGAAAUGUAUAAAUUCCUGGACACAUACACCCUCCCAAGUCUAAAGCAGGAAGAAAUCGAAUUCCUGAAAAGACCAAUAACGAGUUCUGAAAUUGAGGCAGUAAUUAAUAGUCUACCAACCAAAAGUCCAGGACCAGAUGGAUUCACAGCCAAAUCCUACCAGAGGUACAAAGAGGAGCUGGUACUGUUCCUUCUGAAACCAUUCCAAAGAAUAGAAAAAGAGGGAAUCCUCCCUAAUUCAUUUUAUGAGUCCAGCGUCAUCCUGAUACCAAAACCUCACAGAGACACAACAAAAGAAAAUUUCAGGCCAAUAUCCCUGAUGAACAUCAAUGCGAAAAUCCUCAAUAAAAUACUGGCAAACUGAAACCAGCAGCACAUCAAAAAGCUUAUCCACCACGGUCAAGUUGGCUUCAUACCUAGGAUGCAGGGCUGGUUCAACAUACACAAAUCAAUAAACUUAAUCCAUCACAUAAACAGAACCAAUGAGAAAAACCACAUGAUUAUCUCAAUAGAUGCAGAAAAGGCCUUUGACAAAAUUCAACACCCCUUCAUGCUAAAAACUCUCAAUAAACUAGGUACUGAUGGAACAUAUCUCAAAAUAAUAAGAGUUAUUUAUGACAAACCCACAGCCAAUAUCAUACUGAAUGGGCAGAAACUGGAAGCAUUCCCUUUGAAAACUGGCACAAGAGAAGGAUGCCCUCUCUCUCACUACUCCUAUUCAACAUAGUAUUGGAAGUUCUGGCCAGGGCAAUCAGGCAAGAGAAAGAAAUAUGGGGUAUUCAAAUAAGAAGAGAGGAAGUCAAAUUGUCUCUGUUUGCAGAUAACAUGCAAUUUUUAGAUUUAGAAAUAUCUACAUCUAAAAUAGAUUGAGAUUUUCUAAAUAAUAUUUAGAAAACCCCAUCAUCUCAGCCCCAAAUCUCCUUAAGCUGAUAAGCAACUUCAGCAAAGUCUCAGGAUACAAAAUCAAUGUGCAAAAAUCACAAGCAUUCCUAUAUACCAAUAACAGAGAACCAAAUCAUGAGUGAACUCCCAUUCACAAUUGCUACAAAGAGAAUACCUAGGAAUCCAACUUACAAGGGAUGUGAAGGACCUCUUCAAGGAGAACUACAAACCACUGCUCAAGGAAAUAAGAGAGGCCACAAAUAAAUGGAAAAUAUUCCAUGCUAAUGGAUAGGAAGAAUCAAUACUGUGAAAAUGGCCAUACUGCCCAAAGUAAUUUAUAGAUUCAAUGCUAUCCCCAUCAAGCUACCAUUGACUUUCUUCACAGAAUUGGAAAAAAAUACUUAAAAUUUCAUAUGGAACCAAAAAAGAGCCCAUAUAGCCAAGACAGUCCUAAGCAAAAAGUACAAAGCUGGAGGCAUCACACUACCUGACUUCAAACCAUAUUACAAGGCUACAGUAACCAAAACAGCAUGGUACUGGUACCAAAAGAGAUAUAUAGACCAAUGGAACAGAACAGAGGCCUUAGAUAUAACACCACCUAUCUACAACCAUCUGAUCUUUGACAAACCUGACCAAAACAAGCAAUGGGGAAAGGAUUCCCUAUUUAAUAAAUGGUGUUGGGAAACCUGGUUAGCCAUAUGCAGAAAACUGCAACUGGACCCCUUCCUUACACGUUAUACAAAAAUUAGUUCAAGAUGGAUUAAAGACUUAACCAUAAGACCUAAAACCAUAAAAGCCUUAGAAGAAAACCUAGGUGUUAGGAACAGUUUCUCUUCAAAGGAUUUCACCCCCCUUGUCCUUUGUUCUAUUUUUAAGUUAUCUUUCCUGCCUUUAACAGGCCCAGGCAUCCACCAAGCUUGUAGCUGACCCACACUGCCUUACUUUAAGUUGUUAGGUACAAACAAUAAACUUCCUGGUUCUUUGUCCUAUUCUAAAUGCUAAAUCUAGUCAAUUGGGAUCUGUUUAGAUUGUGCAGUCUGACCCCAAUUAACGGGGGAGGUGGGGGAGGCAGGGAAGACACAGAAACAGGAGCGGCAUUAGGAAUAAAAACCCCUGCUUUCCUUUGUUCGGUGUGCUCUUGUGAUUGUGACUGACGCAGGCAGCACCCUUCUGCAGAAGUAAAUUUACCUUGCCGAGAAGUCUUUUGAGUGUUCGUUUUCUUUGCAACUCCCAGCUCAUUUCUAACAAUUUGGGGGCCCUGCCUGGGAUCCCAUUCUUCUCCGGAGAAGGGUCUCCGGUCAUCUUCUGGGAGGGGAUGCAUCCCACUGACUUGGUGCAGUGGCCUCAAAGGCUGGAGACUGAGACCCACCCGUUGUGACAAAUAAACCUGGAAUCUCAGCAACGCGAGAAGACAAGGACUACAAAUACUGUGGCGACCAGGACCCAAGGUCUCUUAGCACAAACACUGCCUCUUGAGUUCCCAGUGCAUCUGUAUCAAUCUGGAGAUUACGUCCUCAUCAAAAGCUGGAAAGAAGAAAAACUCGAACCAACCUGGGAGACCUUAUCUAGUGCCCCUAACCACUGAGACAGCAGUCUGGACCGUUAAGAAAGGGUAGACCCAUCACACUCAGCUACCCAGGAACAUUUUAUUUUAUCAAUGUAACCUGAUCAUCGUUUCCUCAAACAAUUACAUUUGAUGCUUGUCUUGUUAUGCCCUGUGGGGACCUACAAACCCAAAGGCAACUAGCCUCUUCAGGCAAUAACAUACAGGACAUAGGAAUGGGCAAAGACUUCAUGACUAAAACACCAAAAGCAACAGCAACAAAAGCCAAAAUUGACAAAUGGGAUCUAAUUAAACUAAAGAGAUUCUGCGCAGCAAAGGAAACUAUCAUCAGAGUGAACAGGCAACCUACAGAAUGGGAGAAAAUUUUUGCAAUCUAUCCAUUUGACAAAGGGCUAAUGUCCAGAAUCUAUAAAGAACUUAAAUUUACAAGAAAAAAACAACCCCAUCAAAAAGCGGGCGAAGGAUAUGAACAGACACUUCUCCAAAGAAGACAUUUAUGCAGCCAACAAACAUGAAAAAUAGCUGAUCAUCACUGGUCAUUAUAGAAAUGCAAAUCAAAACCACAGUAAGAUACUAACUCAUGCCAGUUAGAAUGGCGAUCAUUAAAAAGUCAGGAAACAACAGAUGCUGGAGAGGAUGUGCAGAAAUAGGAAUGCUUUUUAUACUGUUGGUGAAAGUGUAAAUUAGUUCAACCAUUGUGGAAGACAGUGUGGCGAUUCCUCAAGGAUCUAUAGAACCAGAACUACCACAUGACCCAGCAAUCCCAUUACUGGGUAUAUACCCAAAGGAUUAUACAUCAUUCUGCUAUAAAGACACAUGCACACGUACGUUUAUUGCAGCACUAUUUACAAUAGCAAAGACUUGGAAUCAACCCAAAUCCCCGUCAAUGAUAGACUGGAUAAAGACAAUGUGGCACUUAUACACCAUGGAAUACUAUGCAGCCAAAAAAAGGAUGAAUUCAUGUCCUUUGCAGCGACAUGGAUGAAGCUGAAAACCAUCAUUCUCAGCAAACUAACACGAGAACAGAAAACCAAACACUACAUGUUCUCACUCAUAAGUGGGAGUUGAACAAUGAGAACACAUGGACACACGGAGGGGAACACCACACACCAGGGCCUGUCAGGGGGUGGGGAGGCUAGGGGAGGGAUAGCAUUAGGAGAAAUACCUAAUGUAGAUGACAGGUUGAUGGGUCUGACAAACCACCAUGACACGUGUAUACCUAUGUAAUGCAACUGCACAUUUUGCUCAUGUACCCCAGAACUUAAACUAUAAUUAAAAACACAUAAUUUCAACUUUGCUGUAUAUAUUUGAUACUUUUCAUGAUAAAAUGGGGGUGGGGGAAGCCAAUCUUGGCAAUCACCAAUCCUCUUUCUACUCCCUUUACUACAGAAAUACAAGUGGCAUGUACUACCUAAGGGUGUCUUUUCCAGAGACAGAUGCAUGGGAACACUCUAAGUAAAAACUUACUUACCUUUACACCUUCUGUCCUAGCCUGGAAAUAUAUUCA
rnacentral:lncRNA from 1 species